CAAGUACUCCCUCCGUCCCAAAAUUCUUGUCUUAGAUUUGUCUAAAUACGGAUGUAUCAAGUCACGUUUUAGUAUUAGAUACAUCCGUAUCUAGACAAAUCUAAGACAAGAAUUUUGGGACGGAGGGAGUAAUAA
rnacentral:pre_miRNA from 1 species